CAAACUCAUGACAAUGCUCAGUAUAUCUGUCUACCUUGGAAUUAGAAUAAUCAAGAUUUAUAAAAGGCAUGCUGGUGAAUGUCAAUCUCUUCAGAGUCCCCUCAACAUGGACACCAAUCUCAGUCUUGAGAGCUUGGUCUUAGAAGUUUCUGCAGGGCUUUAUCAGGAUGGAAGAGGAAAAGAGUAAUUGCUACUUGUCACAGGAAAUAAAAGAUUACUUAACCCUUUCUUAAAAAAAGAAGAAGAAGAGCAUGCUGCUCUUAGAGAAGAUCCUCUCUAAGAAGAUAUAAAACAACACUUUCCCACUGAGCCAUCCCACAUCCUUAGCCAUGAAUCAUGGAG